GGGCGAGGGUCCGCCCCCAGCCUCCCGGGCCUCCUUCCUGUAGGGGAAGUGCGGCUGCUUUCGCGUCCCCAGGCCGCUCCGCUCGGCUCGGCUGGGUCCCGCGGCCGCCGCGCAGCCGAACGGACGCACGCCCGCCCGCCCUCCUGCACGCCGCCGGGCUCAGGGCACGGCCGGGUCCCAGACUUGGGCGCUCGCGGGUGCGCACGCAGGCCGAGCCGAGCCGCCCCGUCCUCCGUCCCUCACGGUGCCCGGGGCCCCGGCGCGCUCACCUCGCCACCAGUAGGUCUUGGACAGAUCGUGCCAGGUCUGGUGCCGGGUGUGGUGGGUGCCCCCGGGGCCCAGGUGAGCCGCCUCGAUGAGGCCCUGGCGCCGCUCGGGCUGCAGCACCACCUCCAGCUCGGCGAAGGUCUUGCGGUGCCGCUGCCGCCGCUGGUAGUAGAGUGUCCCGCCGCGCACGACGUAGCAGGCGGCGGCCUUGCGGAUCUUCCGCUUGACAUUGCCCUCGGUGCCCGGCGCGUAGGGCUCGCGUUCGUUCGUCAGGUAGCGCAGGAUGGCCCGGUAGCUCUCCUCGCUUGACAUCGCCGCCGGCAGCGCCCUCGGGGGCGCCUGUCAGUGACCGGGAGAGGCAGACAGCGGCCCCGGCUCGGCCGAGGGACGGCGGCGGCGGCGACCCGGGGAGGAGCGAAGGCGACGCCUGUGCUGGGCGCUCUCUCUCUCCGAGGGCGCCCGCCCGGCCGCCCGGCCGCAGCGCGGAAGGGGAGAACCGACGACCCGGUAACCAGGGGGAACUGCACUUCGGCAGCGCGCGGGAUCCGCUGGCGACUGACAAAAUGGCUGCUGCACCACCGGAAGUGACGCGAGCGCUGGGGCGGGGCCGGCGCCCCGAUUGGAGCGCUCUCCGGCUCUGGCUCCCAGGGAGCCGGCGGUGUGACGUCAACGCUGCGGGAGGACAUAUUGGAAGAGGGCAGCCGCGCUGCCCUGCAGAUCCGAGGGGCCUCAGCAGACAUCUUAAGUCCUGGCAGGUCCCUCCCCCACCGCCCUCCCUUUCCUUUCCCACGCUCUCUGGAAAGCCACGUGGUUGAGCGGGUCGCUGUUUGUUUCCCUGAGACCCUCCCGGUAAACGGUGACUGAGCCGGUUCUGUAGACUCCAUAUACUAGAUACCGUUUGAAACUGUAACAAUUGGUUGCCACUGGCUGAGCCCCUGGGCCAAAGACUGUCGCAGUAUUAUCAAGCAUUAAGUGCUUCAGUGUUACGAAUUAUCCUCUUAAGAAUUAUCUGCAAACUAAGUUAUUUUCUAGAAUCAUCACCAUGGUGACGACUAUGCAGGUCCAGAUUACUUAGAUGAUUAAGUGCAGAAAUAACUCAA
rnacentral:lncRNA from 1 species